AUUUGAUUAGCUCAACAGCUUCAUAGCAUCCCGAUUUUUCAAUCGGGAGGGUCACUGGUUCGACCCCAGUAUCUCCCA
rnacentral:tRNA from 1 species